GCUGUAGCCGCUGUUGGUGGACGAUGGUGGCCUCAACUGAAGAAGUUGUGUGCCCUCUUCACUCCCCCACCGGCCCUCACCCCUCUCGUCUUCUUCCCGACUAAAAUGGUGCCAGAAGCUCGUCGCCUCUGCCUUUUCUUUCUCCCUCCGGCUGUGGCACCAUUCGUCUCUCAGAGAAAUGCAGGAGAACAUGUUGGACCAAGGAGGAGGGGUGGCCCCGGUGUGGGAGUUUGUGAUGCAUCCAGUGUAGCAUGGUGGCUCUGGCUGAGGAAUGACUGUCUUUCCUUGUAGAAAUAGGAAGGCAACAAUGAGGAAAUUAGCCAAUGAACUGGUUGAUAAAUGGGUAUUUCCGUGUUCUUUAUAGAAGGCAAUUCUUAAGCUUGCUGAUGCGCACAUUGAUAUUUUGUAUGGGAGAUAUGGUGAGUGCGAAGUAAUGUGCAGUGAUUUCCCGAGGUCGUGUGUGCUUGUUUUGUUCUGAUGCCCCUGAAAUGAUGUAACUGUGCAGGUUUCCGAUGGCGUUGUCCAAGAACAAGCAGCUCGAAAAGGGAGGAUUUUGUUACCCUAAUGCAGAUGAUCCCUGGCUUCUGAAACUUUAUUAUACGAACCGUGUUGGAGCUGCAGAGACAUGAGCUGCCUCUUGGAGCCGCAUACAGUCUAUUCGGGUGUGUACUUACCUGCAGUAUGUAUGGCAGUUGGAGCAGCUUGCCAAUUAGUACCAUGAAAGGUAAUAUACCUCUCCACCUCUAUGUAUCAUGGAUAUCAUUGUUGGGUGAGAAAUGCUAGAGCUUACCACCGUUCUGUUGUGCUAGAGCUUAGCACCGUUCUGUUGUGCUAGAUGUUUGGUGUUUCUCUUUAAUAAGAAACUAUUUCUCAGGAAGCGGAAUGCAACUAUGUUGCACCCCUCUUCCAGUUGGCAGGCAUUCACGGUAAAUCAUGAGUGUACGCCCUUUUUGUGUAUUUUAAUUUAUCCUGCAUUUGGUUCAGUUGCUACAUCCAGUAAUGGACUGCAAUUUAACCUGAGAGUUACACCGUCCUUGCUUAAAAAUCAUUACAGGCGACACUCAUUUUUUUUUCAUUUGUCUUUCCAUUCUCCUUAAGAAGCUCUUUUAGUUUGUAUGCCCGGUAGGCCUUAAAGAUGAUGUGAUAAUCUAUUCCCGCGUAAACUAUGGGGUUACUUGUUUCUUGAUAUCAGCUAUGACUUGCAUGAGCGAGAAUACACUAUUUUUACGUAUUUUGAUUUGUUGAGAUUUUCAAGUCACCUUUAUAUUUCUGUAGUAAUCUGAUAAUGUCUUAGGUUUCAGUUUGCACUUAUUUUACAAAAUUUUAUUUGUUAUACAUGUUAUCUUUAUACAUGAAAGAUUGAUUCUCCUUAAAAAAUCUUAUACUACCUCCGUUCCAAAAAAAGCUUCUCCCCUUUUCCCCAAAAUGGAUGUAUCUAUAACUAAAAGGUGUCUAUGUACAUCCGUAUUUGGACAAAGUUGAGAAGCUUUUUUUAGGACGGAGGUAGUACAUGAUUUGAAGCUUUCAAAAACCUACUAAAUUCUUGGACAACUAAACAAACAUCAGCUCAUUCAAACUUAUGGUUACAGUAUUGUCUUGCUUUUGCCUCGCGCCGGGGCGCACCGGGUCAUCUAUUAAUCCUUGCCAAGCUCAUUGUUGAGAUAUGUGCAGGUUCAAAUUCUGAAAAGGGUUCAAGAGAUUCAUAUUGAUAUGUCCCUCUCCACUUACUCCAUUGCAAGAGCCAUUAUUGGGGACCAAGGCCGUUGGCCUCUCUCUCGCAAGGCAGGACCAUGUCAAUCGGUAGUGCUAAUGGCUGGAGGAAGUAGUAUUCUGGCUGGUGACUUAUUGUCUUAAUUUCAUUGUUCAGUUGGUAUUGUCUUCAGCCUUGAGAAUCGUUGUGGGGGUUCUGAUCUAAGUUGUGAAAGUUCGGUGGCUCACACAUUUUUUUCUUUUUAGAGACAAUGUGGACCUACUUAGUUGCCAACUCACUACUGAAACUGUUCUUGCAUUGUAUCUGAACGUAAACUUUGAGUGACCUUUUUGUGUGCAAACUUAACACACAUAAAUUUGCUCAUUGUUUCGCGAUGUAUGUCACGGUGAUCCUUGCAUCUACUUUGCGGUGAAAUCAUGUUUAUUAAAUAUUAGGGAAUUAUUUUUACUAGGGAUAAAAUUUAGUUGAGUAAAAGAGGAAUAAAGAAUGCAGUUUUCUGUUUGCUUUUCCCUUGAGAGGAUGGACGAUGGGGAAGAAACAAGCUAAAUUGCGAAUCAAGGAAGAGUGCAGAUCAACCAGUAGGCCUUGGUGUUUCAGUAUAUUUAGUUGUUUUCUCUUUCUGUUUGGAUGUGUGGAUAUCGAGUGUUUAGAGAACCGGCCCAAUGCCUUGUGAUUUACUUGUCGGCGUAUUCUGCAGCUUCCUCAGCCAGCCUCGGGCACAACACUAUCACCACACAUUUAGGUCUUGUUUGGAUAUUGAGUUUCUAGGGAUCUGGGUUUUUGUAAACAAACUUUCUGGUGUGGCAGCCUAAAUCUUGCUUGGAUCGGUUGAGGAAUUUAUGUAUUUAUGGUUAUUGCUUAUUUUGCUAUAGAUUUAUUUAUGUUAUUGGCCUUUUCUAAGAGUAGAUUGGUUGAUGAACUGGCUUAUUUAUAGUUCUUAGCUUCAGUCUAACAAAUAAUACGAGCAACUAUGCCUUUAAUAUACGUUUUCUUAACUGCUAUUGAUUAUAAGAAUGUUUCCUCAUUGCUGUAGAUUAUUGUUUUGCUACAUACUUAUUGUUCUGUUUCCGCUGAAGCAAGACCUUUUGCUUGCUAUUUUACAGAGGUAGACGAUCAGAUGGAACAUGUACUGAAUUUGAGCCCACGAAGGUAUUUUUGCUAUAAUUUAUUCUGUUCAUCUCUAGCGUCACGCCUACUGUCAAUUCAGAUUAAAGCAUGGUACAGAAGUGCAUAGUUCUAAAGAAUGGAUGUUGAGCUCAGAUUUUAAUGUUUGGGUUUCGGUGGCAGGAGAUUCUUGCACUGUCGGUGACAACAGCUGGCAUUUGGUGAUUAGUAUUUUUUUUGCCUUUUAUAUUAAUGUACUUGUAAUUUAUCUUCCGUAAAUAUUUAUGAUUCAUGCUUGAGGGAUGCACAAGUAUAUGAGCUAUCAAUCAUGAAAUGGGAACUAAUUGUACUGUAUAACAAACUUUUUCAGUACGGGUAUUUGUUACACUAUUGAUUUGGAUUUAAACAAUGAUGUUUUAGUGUAGUUAUGGCGAUCCGUGAUCGCUAUAGUUUUUAAUUGCUAUUCAAUAGAAAAUGUGACCUGAUGCUUAAUAUUGCAGUGACUACGAGCAACAACUUGAGUAAGAGUGCCUGCUAUGGCUGGUCCAGGAUAGCCCCAAAAGAGCAGAUCCAUAUGGCAUGCACAAAAGUUAUUGCCAAGUGACUGCUUGAGAUCUUUUUUUUUUUUUUGUAAGGAGCUUUAACCUUCUAGGUAGCUCAUUAGACUACUGUUUGCAAUUGCCCAAUAGUUUUGUACAGUGCUGUUGUCUAAUCAAUACCAAGCGCUACAAAUUACAUGACAUUUUAAUAGACUUCUGUCCCUCCUAUGAUAUAUUUAUACUGCAUCUAUGAU